GGGGUCGAUAGAUGCCAGAUUAUAGCAUAUAUUUCCGGUUUCGCACAUCUGUCAUCGUUUAAUACAAAACUCUCGUGUAUAUUCAUACAUGUACGUACUUAAAGGAAAAAGGAAACCACGAAUAUUUCAUAUUAGAGAUGCAGAAAUAGGAAUGUAACCAGAAAUAAGAAAUGUUUGACGACAAAACUGUUCAUCCAAGAAUCGAGAAGUAUUACAUCGUUUCUGUUUAAGGAUUCUAUUUUCCACGAGCUAUUGCAAGUGAUAUGUGAAAGGUGAUAUUCAGAAGCGGAGUAUACAUUAUACAACUGGUGCUUGUAGAAGUGGGCUGGAUGAUAAAUCUUCCUACUGAAUCAAAUAAAAGCAAAGGUGUUCUCAUGCAUAAAUUCCGCACGUGUGCUAUGAUGUACAUAUACCGAUGAGAUAGUACUUACAUGAUCAUAGCCAUUGUACAGUUCUGGCCAGAGACAAGAACCUGGCUCCACGACAUUUCUCUGCUUCCUGGAUCUUAGAUAGAUAUCUUGUUGUAAUAUAUUAAAGCGUACCGCGUACCAUUGGUAGAGAAACAAAAAUAUGAAAACUCAGAAAAGAAGUUUCGUUACCGAUGGCAAAACAUCCCUGCUAGAGGCAGAACUUUUGGCACUUUUUCUAUGAGAUGCACUUUAAAUAACAACAAAUGCAAGUAUCAUAGAUCCUGCAUAUUUUGAGCAAAGUGAAACAACCACGCGCGCUGAGUAUGGCGUCCAGCAGUGUACUGCUCAAACGAACGAAGAUAAGGAAGAUGUAGUAUGAUAACUUAUAUUAACGAUUGUUGAAUUAGUCGGAUUCCUUUCAUCAGAAAUGAACGGAGAAAAGUUGUACUUAUGAAAGUUACCAACAUGAAGAUAGAAUGCUGCGCCGCAAUCGAUCAAUAUUUGGCAAUUAAAAACUGAUCGUGAAUUGAAGUUUCGAAGCUCACCUUUGACGGAGGUAACCAAAGUUAAAUGUUGAGCAUUCAUCUCGGCGAGCCGGCGGAUCACGUCGAUCUGUUCCAAGGAAAGUUGAACCGCAUUCAACUGUGCCGCACCGCAUGGAACGUAG